rnacentral:RNase_P_RNA from 1 species
GCGGAUGGCCGGAUGGCCGCUUCGGCGGGGUAUCCCGUCGGGGAGGAAAGUCCGGACUCCACAAGGCGACGGUGCCGGGUAACGCCCGGCCGGGGCAACCCGAGGGAAAGCGCCACAGAAAACAGACCACCGCCGGCGUGCCGGCGGCCAGGGUGAAACGGUGGGGUAAGAGCCCACCGCGGGACGGGCAACCGGACCGGCACGGCAAGCCCCACCGGGAGCAAUGCCGAAUAGGGAUUCCGCGCCCCGGCAACGGGGACAGGGCGCCUUGCCCCAGGAAUCCGGGUAGGCAGCUGAAGGCGCGCGGCGACGCGCGUUCCAGAUGAAUGGUCAUCUCCGGCAGGUCCGCCUGCCGACGACAAAAUCCGGCUUACAGGCCGUCCGCGCAU